rnacentral:rRNA from 1 species
GAUGAACGCUGGCGGCGUGCCUAAUACAUGCAAGUCGAGCGAACAGACGAGGAGCUUGCUCCUCUGACGUUAGCGGCGGACGGGUGAGUAACACGUGGAUAACCUACCUAUAAGACUGGGAUAACUUCGGGAAACCAGAGCUAAUACCGGAUAAUAUAUUGAACCGCAUGGUUCAAUAGUGAAAGACGGUUUUGCUGUCACUCAUAGAUGGAUCCGCGCCGCAUUAGCUAGUUGGUAAGGUAACGGCUUACCAAGGCAACGAUGCGUAGCCGACCUGAGAGGGUGAUCGGCCACACUGGAACUGAGACACGGUCCAGACUCCUACGGGAGGCAGCAGUAGGGAAUCUUCCGCAAUGGGCGAAAGCUUGACGGAGCAACGCCGCGUGAGUGAUGAAGGUCUUCGGAUCGUAAAACUCUGUUAUUAGGGAAGAACAAAUGUGUAAGUAACUAUGCACGUCUUGACGGUACCUAAUCAGAAAGCCACGGCUAACUACGUG